ACCAGGGUGGCUCAGUUGGUUAAGCAUCUGACUUUGGCUCAGGUCAUGACCUCACAGUUUGUGCGUUCGAGCCCCAUCUCUGGUG
rnacentral:tRNA from 1 species